UCGCUGCAGUUUGCUCUUCCUCGCCGUCUUCGGUGUUUGCCGGCGAUAUUUCCCCGUUCGGCCGGCGGUUGGAACUCCGGCGCUACUCUGAUUCUUCUUCGCGGUGGUUCUAGUUCGUCCCAGACGGGCUGGUCGGCUUCAAUUUUUGGUUUGGGAGUCCGUUCCUCUUUUUAUUUCUCUGUGAGUGAUGGAUAAGGAUGCUUCGACUGGUGGUGGAGGGAAGGUAUUUGAUCAUGUUGAUGAUUCUGGUGAUGCUGUGUUUUCUGGUUUGGGGAAUUUAUCUUCUAAUAUGACAGAUGAUGCUGAUGAGUCAGCUGACAAGACUAUAAGAGAAUCUCUGGAUUUGCUGAACCAGGAUUUUGCUGCAUAUUCU